GAAGCAACACGCAGAACCUUACCAACGCCUUGACAUCCUAGGACCGGCCCAGAGAUGGGUCUUUUCACUUCGGUGACCUAGUGACAGGUGCUGCAUGGCUGUCGUCAGCUCGUGUCGUGAGAUGUUCGGUUAAGUCCGGCAACGAGCGCAACCCACAUCCUUAGUUGCCAGCAGUUCGGCUGGGCACUCUAGGGAAACUGCCCGUGAUAAGCGGGAGGAAGGUGUGGAUGACGUCAAGUCCUCAUGGCCCUUACGGGUUGGGCUACACACGUGCUACAAUGGCAGUGACAAUGGGUUAAUCCCAAAAAACUGUCUCAGUUCGGAUUGGGGUCUGCAACUCGACCCCAUGAAGUCGGAAUCGCUAGUAAUCGCGUAACAGCAUGACGCGGUGAAUACGUUCCCGGGCCUUGUACACACCGCCCGUCACACCAUGGGAGUUGGUUCUACCCGACGGCCGUGCGCCAACCUUUCGAGGAGGCAGCGGACCACGGUAGGAUCAGCGAUCUGGGGUGAAGUCGUAACAAGGUAGCCGUAGGGGAACCCUGCGGCUGGAUCACCUCCUU
rnacentral:rRNA from 1 species